AACGAACGCUAGCGGCAGGCCUAACACAUGCAAGUCGAGCGAAGCCUUCGGGCUUAGCGGCGGACGGGUGAGUAACGCGUGGGAACGUGCCCUUUGGUACGGAAUAGCCCCGGGAAACUGGGAGUAAUACCGUAUGUGGUCGAGAGACGAAAGAUUCAUCGCCAAAGGAGCGGCCCGCGUUGGAUUAGGUAGUUGGUGGGGUAAUGGCCUACCAAGCCGACGAUCCAUAGCUGGUUUGAGAGGAUGAUCAGCCACACUGGGACUGAGACACGGCCCAGACUCCUACGGGAGGCAGCAGUGGGGAAUCUUAGACAAUGGGGGAAACCCUGAUCUAGCCAUGCCGCGUGAUCGAUGAAGGCCUUAGGGUUGUAAAGAUCCUUCAGUGGGGAAGAUAAUGACUGUACCCACAGAAGAAGCCCCGGCUAACUCCGUGCCAGCAGCCGCUGUAAAAC
rnacentral:rRNA from 1 species